rnacentral:rRNA from 1 species
GACGAACGCUGGCGGCGUGCUUAACACAUGCAAGUCGAACGGAAAGGCCCUGCUUUUGUGGGGUGCUCGAGUGGCGAACGGGUGAGUAACACGUGAGUAACCUGCCCUUGACUUUGGGAUAACUUCAGGAAACUGGGGCUAAUACCGGAUAGGAGCUCCUGCUGCAUGGUGGGGGUUGGAAAGUUUCGGCGGUUGGGGAUGGACUCGCGGCUUAUCAGCUUGUUGGUGGGGUAGUGGCUUACCAAGGCUUUGACGGGUAGACGGCCUGAGAGGGUGACCGGCCACAUUGGGACUGAGAUACGGCCCAGACUCCUACGGGAGGCAGCAGUGGGGAAUAUUGCACAAUGGGCGGAAGCCUGAUGCAGCAACGCCGCGUGCGGGAUGACGGCCUUCGGGUUGUAAACCGCUUUCGCCUGUGACGAAGCGUGAGUGACGGUAAUGGGUAAAGAAGCACCGGCUAACUACGUG